GAUGAACGCUGGCGGCGUGCCUAAUACAUGCAAGUAGAACGCUGAAGCUUGGUGCUUGCACCGAGCGGAUGAGUUGCGAACGGGUGAGUAACGCGUAGGUAACCUGCCUCUUAGCGGGGGAUAACUAUUGGAAACGAUAGCUAAUACCGCAUAAAAGUCGACAUCGCAUGAUGUUGACUUGAAAGGUGCAAUUGCAUCACUAAGAGAUGGACCUGCGUUGUAUUAGCUAGUUGGUGAGGUAACGGCUCACCAAGGCGACGAUACAUAGCCGACCUGAGAGGGUGAUCGGCCACACUGAGACUGAGACACGGCCCAGACUCCUACGGGAGGCAGCAGUAGGGAAUCUUCGGCAAUGGGGGCAACCCUGACCGAGCAACGCCGCGUGAGUGAAGAAGGGUGUCGGAUCGUAAAGCUCUGUUGUAAGAGAAGAACGAGUGUGAGAGUGGAAAGUUCACACUGUGACGGUAACUUACCAGAAAGGGACGGCUAACUACGUG
rnacentral:rRNA from 1 species